UUAAUUAAAGCCAAAAAGAGAGGCAUGUUGCUGUUAACAACAAGAAUAAACAAAAGUUUUAAUUAAU
rnacentral:tRNA from 1 species